rnacentral:misc_RNA from 1 species
AUUCCAUGUUAAAGCCUUAAAGUGAGCAAGAAUUUGUAACUUAAAUGAAUGAAAUUUAUGUUUAUGCAUGCCUUGAAUUUCGGCAGCCCUAAUGAGGGAACAAUAAUGGAGUGUCUUGAUGAUUUUAAUGGACUUAGAAUGAAUUGGAGAUUAUGUUUAAGCUAUAUAUUUACAUAGAUAAUGAUUUAGUGUGCUUAACCAAGGU